rnacentral:rRNA from 1 species
ACUGGUUGAUCCUGCA